rnacentral:rRNA from 1 species
AUUGAACGCUGGCGGCAGGCCUAACACAUGCAAGUCGUACGAGUGGCGGACGGGUGAGUAAUGGCUGGGAAACUGCCCGAUGGAGGGGGAUAACUACUGGAAACGGUAGCUAAUACCGCAUACCAUCGGAUGUGCCCUGAUGGGAGUAGCUAGUAGGUGGGGUAAUGGCUCACCUAGGCGACGAUCCCUAGCUGGUCUGAGAGGAUGACCAGCCAAACUGGAACGGGGACACGGUCCAGAUUCCUACGGGAGGCAGCAGUGGGAAAUAGUGCACAAUGGGCGAAAGCAUGAUGCAGCCAUGCCGCGUGUAGGAAGAAGGCUUUCGGGUUGUAAAGUACUUUCAGCGAGGAGGCGUUACUCGCAGAAGAAGCACCGGCUAACUCCGUGCCAGCAGCCGCGGUAAUAC